UGCUUGAGAAUGCUCUGAGCACUUGGUUGUGGAAGAUAGAAUGGAAAUUAUAACAAAAAAAUCCUAAUUCUAAUAGAAUAUUAAUUAAACUCUAAUUAUAAUGAAAUAAUAAGAAAUCUUAAAGAAAUAUUAGAAUUCUCACAAAUAUAUCUCAAUUCAAUCUUAAUUUAAUCCUAGUUAAAAUUCUAUUGAAAUUCAUUCAAAUUUUAGGCCAAAAACCAACUAAAACUUAAACCCUAAAUAAACCCUAAUAAAAUCCUAAACCACAAAUAAAUCCUAAUAAAAUCCUAAAUCAUAAACCAAAUCAUAACCAAAUCUUAACUAAAUCCUAAACCCUAAUUCUAAAUCAAAUCCUAAAUUCUAAACCAAAUCUUAAUCAAAUCCUAAAUCUUAAUCAAAUCCUAAUUCUAAACUAAAUCCUAAUCAAAUCCUAAAUCCUAAUCAAACCCUAAUUCUAAACUAAAUCAUAACCAAAUCCUAGUAAUUCCUGUAACAAAUUUAAACCUCAAUUACUAAUAAAUGAAUUGUUGAUCUUAAGUCAAAAUUUGCAUACUUCUUAAAAAUUAAGUUGACAACAAGCACAAAAAAGUUGAAAAGG
rnacentral:lncRNA from 1 species